UGUGAGGUUAGAAGAGGGGUACACCUCUAUGGGAGUGCACCCUAACUUCUGCCCUCACCAC
rnacentral:pre_miRNA from 1 species